rnacentral:rRNA from 1 species
GAUGAACGCUAGCGGCAGGCCUAACACAUGCAAGUCGAGGGGCAGCACAUAAAGUGGUUUACUACUUUUGGUGGCGACCGGCGGACGGGUGUGUAACGCGUAUGCAACCUGCCUCCAACAGGGGGAUAACGGAGAGAAAUUUCCACUAAUACCCCAUAAUAUCAGAAUCGGCAUCGGUUUUGGUUGAAAACUCCGGUGGUUGGAGAUGGGCAUGCGUUGUAUUAGAUAGUUGGGGAGGUAACGGCUCACCAAGUCAACGAUACAUAGGGGGACUGAGAGGUUAGCCCCCCACACUGGUACUGAGACACGGACCAGACUCCUACGGGAGGCAGCAGUGAGGAAUAUUGGUCAAUGGGGGCAACCCUGAACCAGCCAUGCCGCGUGCAGGAAGACGGCUCUAUGAGUUGUAAACUGCUUUUACAAGGGGAUAAAUCGGUGUACGUGUACACCGUUGAAGGUACCUUGGGAAUAAGGAUCGGCUAACUCCGUGCCAGCCGCCGCGGUAA